rnacentral:rRNA from 1 species
UACGUAGGGUGCGGGCGUUGUCCGGAAUUAUUGGGCGUAAAGAGCUUGUAGGCGGUCUGUCGCGUCUGCUGUGAAAAUCCGGAGCUCAACCCCGGACUUGCAGUGGGUACGGGCAGACUAGAGUGUGGUAGGGGAGACUGGAAUUCCUGGUGUAGCGGUGAAAUGCGCAGAUAUCAGGAGGAACACCGAUGGCGAAGGCAGGUCUCUGGGCCACUACUGACGCUGAGAAGCGAAAGCAUGGGGAGCGAACAGG